rnacentral:RNase_P_RNA from 1 species
GCAGACCAGGCGAUCGCGUGCUCAGGCAUGAGGAAAGUCCGGGCUCCGCAGGGCAGGGAUGACGGAUAACGUCCGCCGCAGGUAACUGUAGGGAAAGUGCAACAGAAACAUUCCGCCGAAACCACCGGGGCUGUGGAGACACAGCUGCCGUGUAAACCCCAUCCGGAGCAAGACAAAAUGGGCAUUAUGUGGUGCGGCCCGUACCCGCCCUAAGGUAUGUCGCAUGAGGCUGCAGGCAACUGCGGUCCAAGAUGGAUGAUCGUCAGAUACAGAACCCGGCUUACGGUCUGCC